GACGAACGCUGGCGGCGUGCCUAAUACAUGCAAGUCGAACGCAGUUGCGAACGGGUGAGUAACGCGUAGGUCACUGCCCCAUAGCGGGGGAUAACUAUUGGAAACGAUAGCUAAUACCGCCUACUGUGAGAUGGACCUGCGUUGUAUUAGCUAGUUGGUGAGGUAAAGGCUCACCAAGGCGCCGAUACAUAGCCGACCUGGGAGGGUUAUCGGCCAAACCGUGACUGAGACACGGCCCAGACUCCGUCGGGAGGGAGCAGUAGGGAAUCGUCGGCAAUGGACGGAAGGCUGACCGAGCAACGCCGCGUGAUUGAAGAAGGUUUUCGGAUCGUAAAGCUCUUUUGUUAGAGAAGCGUUAACUAACCAGAAAGGGACGGCUAACUACGUGCCAGCAGCCGCGGUAAUUC
rnacentral:rRNA from 1 species